rnacentral:rRNA from 1 species
GCUAGUAAUGGCAGGUCAGCAUACUGCCGUGAAUACGUUCCCGGGCCUUGUACACACCGCCCGUCACACCAUGAGAGUUGGGGAUACCCGAAGCCUGUGAGCCAACUUUUUAAGAGGCAGCAGUCGAAGGUAGAAUCAAUGAUUGGGGUGAAGUCGUAACAAGGUAAC